UGGAACUUGUGGUUUGUCUCUAGAUCACUUCAACAGGAGAGAAGGCAAAAGUCACUUCUGGAUUUUUAGGAACUGCCCUCAGUGCACAGGAAACUCACUUUGAGAAUGCACAAGAAAGUUCUUGUAUUUUCCGAAGGGCGACAUAGGUUGUGGGCAGGGAAGAAUGGUUUUGGUGCGAUAACUUGGUGGGGUCAUCAGAACGCCCUCUGAUAAAUCCCAGCUCAUGCGGGUUCCGUAAGUAUUUUCAAAACUCGCCCUCUACUAGCUGUUGGGUCUUCAAGGAUAAACGAGCCAGGAUGUAUCGCUUCUGGGGAAAAUGGUCUCAAAUCCUGGAAAGAAGAGCUGUGAGAAAUCAAGAUAGAAAAUCAAUAUGAAACUAAGUGGCAGAAACACAGAUGUCUGACCUUGACUGAAAUGACCAAAAGGAUGUAAAUAUGUUUUAAGUUAGAGAAGGGUACCAUUAGCUGCCAGAACCGGCUGCACUACAGACGGAACCUGAUGAUAAAAGCACUUGGAGCACUUCCUUUGAUCUCUCUCUCGAAGAAAGUGGCAUGACGUCAUGGGAAUUAAGCAGAGUGGAAUGCAGACAUUCCAGGAAGAAGGAGAGAGUCAGAGAUAAAGUCAGAUCAUGAGAUGGGGGAGUGUGUCACUCAGAUCAGAGGGUGGAAGCAAUGCGUCAGAGGAAGGCAGCUGCAGCAGAUGUAAAGGCCUUCCCUCUGAGUAAGGGUGGCAGGACCUGGAUGAAAGCUUGAGAAAUUCAAAGGGGUUGGAUGAGGACGGAGGAGUUGCUGUCCUGAUCCUCUGGCAGGUAAACAGCAGGUGGCAGCAGCAAUGAGGGGCUUUUGCAGAUUCUGGGGGCUCUCCCAUGGCCUUGAAGAGAGGCACAGCUAUGAAUGGGGUCUACAGAAAGUCCAGGAUCAAGGUUAGGUAGAAUUGGGGUGCUGUCCAGGGAGGUCCAGCACAGUGUGAGCUGGAAAGGGGCCACAGGCUGGGACAGUGGCACUGAGAGGCGUCCUGCCCUCUUGGCUCUGGCACCUUCCCAUAAGCGUCACUGCACACUCAGAAGAGGCACGAAGGUUGCUGGGCUGAGGGUGAUAAUCGGCAGGGGGGCCCACGACCACCUCCCACCUCUGCACACCCCAGUUCACUUAUCCCCUUAUCCCACACUCCUUCCCCUCCCUCAGUGUACAGCUGACCCUCUGGCAGCAUCCUUCUGGUUUCUUGUGAAUUUCCAAAAGCAUUUUCCAGUUUUCUAGCCAUAACUGUGGGGCUUUUGAAUGGAUUCUUCAUCCACUUGAGCCAAGUGUUCCAUGCCUUCAGUUACUUGAGGUCCAGAUAGCCUGGUGAUUCGAAUCUGGCUAAGAGGGAUGCGGAAAUUUCCCAUCGAGAGGCAACAAAGGCAGGGUGGAGAAUGAGCAGACACCAAUGAUCAUGUCGACGACAGUGCAAUACAAAAGAUAACCAGGCAGAGUCUAGGAGAGUUUUAGCAAAGAGACCCAGGAUCUGCUUAUAUGUGGGGGUUACAAAGCUUUGGAAAUUAGUUAGUGGUUUGAUUCAGCAGAAACAGGAACUCGUAACAAUACUCCUGCACAGUCUCUACGCCAUGGUGGGGAGGAAAAGCUGUUUGUACGUGUCAUAUCAGGGAUUUUGUGAGUCCCUGCCCUCAGAGUCAGAAGGAAAAUGGUUUCAUAUGGAUACUCAUAGGCCAGGUGACAUGGGUGGAAAGCUCUAAGCACCAGGUUCCAGCAGGAAGCUUGAACCCCCCUGUAUGGGAUGUGGUCUCCUUCUCUGGUUGGAGCGUUCUCUUGUUGACAGCCAGUGGGUGCAGGGGGCUCUCUAGGCUCCACCCUCUGCCCUCGUGGAAAGUGAGCUGGAGUGAGCGCCACUGGCUCCUUCCCGGGGAUGAGUACUGGAGCUUGGUACAAGCCCUAAAGACCGCCUAGAGCUCAGGGUCAAAUGCAUCCUCUCAACCCCCACCCUGCAGCUUUCUGCUUUGGCCCUGGCUCCUUUGAGUAAGUGGGUAUAAGUGGAUUCUUCCUGAGUCUCUUUCACUGUUUUCCAGGCAGGCUGCUCCUUCACACACUGUGGGCUGGGUGACUCUUCCCUCAAUAUCAUGUCACCUGCUCUCUGUCUAGCAGAAUUUGUUGACAUUUCUGGCUCAUGGUUUAAGGACGUAGGAGGAUGUGUUUACCUUUAAACAUCUAGACAAGUUUUGCUGUUCUUGAUAGGGAGAUACCAUCAAAUAUGUAGGCACAUAGUAGAAGAGAAAACUCAGUGCACACUUACAUUUGGGAAGCACCGAUUAUAAAAAACAAACCAAUAACUGCUUUUGCAGAGAGCAAUGUCUUGGGAAGGAUGAUAAUGCUAUUCUGCUAAUUCUAGCUUUUCCUUAUCAUCUCGUCACUCUUGUACUUCCCUCUCAUUCUGUAGUUUUGAUAUUAUUUCUCGUUUGCGUUUUGACUUUCCACCACUUCAGUCGCCAUUUUGAUUCUGUUUUUCUGUUUCCUGUUCCAUUUGAACUAUUGUUCUUUUUUAUGUAUAAUUACAGUGUAAGCAGGAAAUCCAGAUAAGGUUAAGCUAGAAAGCCCCUUUUAAUAGGCAUUUGCACCACAAAAAGGAAAUGAGCACAUUCGUAGGGUAAAUGAAAAUGUGUUAUCUUGCAGGAAUAGCGAACAUUAAGGUUAUGCCAUGAGAAGAUUCAGCGAUGUUUUCCCAAGUUUAAGGAUUGCAUUUGGGAACUGUAUUUCCCCUGGGUUAGAGACUGGUGUUGAGUAGGCAGAGAAUUAGAAGCUGAUAAAGGAAUUACUAAUACCGCCAUUUGUUUCACAAAUUUCAAUUAAAAGAUUUAAUAGGAUGGUUAAACUAUAAAUUACAUUUAGCAAAGCUAAGAGACUGGCAUUUUCCUUAAUUUGAUAUUCCCGCUUAAUACCAGGAGGCAUUGAUCCGGGAGGCAUUGGGUGGUCUCAUUCAAACUAAAUCCCUGGUAUUUGUGAUCCUUGGUUAAACAAGAAAUAUAGUGUGUUAGACUGGAGAAUGGAAUGAAGUAUCAUAUUCAGAAUUUAAUAUGAUCCCGUUGUGCUUGAAACGUUUAACAGACCUCAGAAUGAUUCCAAUGUUUGGAUAAACCACUGCAACUUCUCUUUCAUUAGUUUGACAACGGCAAGUGAAAUAGAUUUCACUUUGUUAUGUUUCCAAGCCAAUAAAAAUGAACAUUUAAAGAAAGUGAGCAUCAAGACAUGAAUGUGUAUACCCAGUGCCAACAAAUUACAAGAACUUAAAAAAAUUCAGUUUUGUGGAAUUCAUAGGGAAAAUUCUAUGAUAUUUCCAAUCAGAUGAAGAAAGCUUAUCUUGUUCAGCCAUGAGGUUUAUCCUAAGUUCUUUAGUUCUUUAUAUUUUUCAUUCAUACUCUGUUAAAGGAGGGGAUAAUUCUAAGUUUGUGUGUGUGUGUGUGAGCUUUUAUCUAAGUGUAUUUAGUUUGGUUUUCAUCUGAGUUGUCUUCAGUGAGGUCAGUUACAUGGAGAACUAAAGGCUUUUGAGCCAAGUGUGCCAUGUUUUCUUUUACUUGAGAUCCAGAUAGUGUUCUGGUGAUUCGAAUCUGGCUAAUAUGAAUGAGAAUCCCAUAGGGAGACAAUGAAGGCAGGGUGGACAGAAUGAGCAGACGCCAAUGAUGAUGAUGAUGACAAUGAUGUAGAAAAGAACAUCAGAUCAGAAUCUGGGAGAGCUUGUCAAAGAGACCCUGUGUAUCCUGCUCAUACAUGGGAGUUAUGAAGCCAUGAAAAUUUGUUAGUGGUUUGAUUCAGCAGAAAUAGUAACUGAUGUCAACCUGAUAACAGUACUUCUCUACCUAAAAUUCUUCCACUGAUUCCAUUGCUCUUAGGAUCAAGUUCUUUAUAGCCAUUUUGUGGCCUUGGAAGUUUGGUUACUUUCUCUGCCCUGAGCCCUUGUAUUCUCUGUUCCAGCUGCACUGACUUUUUUUUAAUUCCUCCCAAGUGUCUGUCUCCUUUCUGCUUUCAGGAGCUCUGCACAUAUAUUACCUGUGUGUUAGGUGUUACCUGGAUCGCUGCCAAACCCCACCAUGUCCCUUUGCCUACCUUGCUCCUGCUCACGUUCUAGUUCCUUCCUUCUUGGAAGCCUUCCCUUUCCCAAGGACUGGAUUAAGACUCCUUGUUAUAUUCUCUCAUAACACCCUUUGGCACUCACUACAGUUGAAGUUAGUUCCUAACUAACUUAUUUAGUUAUUUCUUUAAUGUGUGUUUGAAGACAUGGUGGUGGUGUUUCCAUGAGGAUAGGGAUCAUUACCUGUUUUGUUUACAAGCAUGUUGCAUGGCACAUGAUAAGGGAAAAAAGCUAACUGUGUGAAUAAAUGAAUGAGGUAGGAAGCUGCUUGGGUUAUGGUUAUGAAUUAAGUUGUGUCCCCCUCAAAAGAUACGUUAAGGUCCUAAUCCCCGGUACCUGUCAAUGUGACCUAGUUUGGAAGUUGGUUCUUUGCAGAUGUAAUCAAGUUAGAAUGAAGUCAUUAGGGACGAGUGACGUCAGCAACAUGGUGGAGUGAACGGUUUUCUUUGUCUCUCCCCCUUUGAACUACAAGUAAAUGGACAUUCAUUGAUCAAUGGAGGACACUCACACAGCACUGCAGGAUGCCUGAGAGACCCACACUGCUAUACAUCAGAAGGUGGAUGGACUACUCUCGGGGAGGAGGGGGAGACAGAUAAGGAGAACGGGGAACAAUGGGAUUAAGAAAUGGCAGAGUCUUGACACGAACCCAGGUCAACCAGUAGCCCAGGCUCAGAGGAGAAGAAUGCAGAGGAAUCAAAAGCUGGAAGGAAUCUUAACAGGAAGAGCUCAUUAGUUCUCCCUCCAGAGACAACUGCCUCUCUCAGAGAUGAAAUCUAUUCUGGGAAUCCCCAAGAGGAAGAGAACCCAUUGAGUCUGAGUGUGGAGAGUGUGAGAUCGUGGAAAUCUUGGAAACAGGGUGGAGUUGUGGGUCGGAAGGUCUGAGCUUCCAACCUCGGUCUUCCUCUACGGAACAGUCACCCAGCUCGCUGCCACUCGCUCCGUUUCCUUAUCUGUGAAAUGGAGAUAACAGGAGCUUGCGUGCUGUCAGAGUUUUCUGAGAUAAAAAUGAGAACACGUUGAGGAAGGUAUUUCUUCACUCAGGGCAAUUCCACUGAAAAAGUCCUAUCAGGAGAGAGCGUCUUUUCUUUCCUUUUAGGUAGGUGACCAUUUGUAAUAUUGUGUCCCAGAGAUCUUUACCUUUUGCUUUUCUAGAUUUUUUUUUUUGAUGAGGAAGAUUGGCCCUGAGCUAGCCUCUGUGCCAUUCCUCCUCUAUUUGUGUGUGGGUCACCACUACAGCAUGGCUUGAUGAGCAGUGUGUCGGUCCCGCUCUGGGAUCCGAACCCGCGACCCCUGGGCCGCUAAAGCAGAGCGUGUGAACUUAACCACUAUACCACUGGGCUGGCUCCAGUUUAUUUUGUUAAACAGCAGUCAUCUCUCCUAGUCUUUGGCUCUUUUUCAGUUUUUCACUUGCUGUAACCAGGCAGAGGCUCAAACUGCACAGAGCAUCCUACUCUCAGCUGCACGCACCAAAGAGGUCACACACUCAGAGAAAUGCUGUUUAGAGGAACUUUAUGUGCUUUUUAUUCUAUUGUCGUUCACUGAACCCGUGGGUUAAUUUUGGUAGUUUUGGGCGUGGCAGUGAUUUUCGUGACUCCUUUUUCCUUCUCUAGAUACACUUCUCAGACUUUCUGUUUCCUUUAACCUGAUUUUGGUCAUUUCGUUUUCUUGUUAAGAUCAUCUCAAGUAGUAACGGCUUUAUUCCAAAACACAGACAGCCCUUUCCAAAAACUGUGAUGUUUGCCCUUGAAAAAAAGUGUUUGUUACUCAAAUCACAGGGCCAAGAAAUGUGAUCAUUGAUCCCAAGCAUGUUAUAGGAAUGUCAACACAUAGGUACUAACGACUGGUGGUAAUAAUAACAACAAUAAUAAAAGUUAGGGACGAUUCACUGAGGUCACAUUGUGCAACAGGAACUGGUUAAGUUCUUUUCACAUUUCCUCUAGGCUUCUUUAAAAUGAUCCUCCAAGUGGACGUGACUAUCCUUAUCCUGCAGAGACGAAAGCUGAGGUUUUCAUAAAUUAAGUAAAUCGUGAAAAACAGUGCCAGCAAUUUAGGUCCAGGGACUCCAGAGCCGAGCUUUUUCCUGUGCCCUCAACUGCCUCCUGGGGAUGCUGUGGCGCCUUAAGGAUGGGGCAGACCUGGUUUGGGAACCCAUGCAGGAUCAGGGCAUCAGAACACUGUGGAGUCGUUUUCCUAAUAGCUGUAAAAAUCUGCUUCCUUGCCCUUUGCUGGAGCUGUUACAUCCAUCUGCUCACAGUAAAUUUCUUAAUCACCUCUGGUGAUAUGAUUCUGACUCCUUGCGUAUUUUGUCCCUGCCACCCAUGGGGACUGCUCAUUGUUACAGCAUCUGCUCCCCGCCUUCCUCCUGCUAAACUCUGAGGCAGAGAAUUCACUGGAGGGUUUUUAGCGACGUCUACCUUUUCUGGCUGGGAGGAGAGUUUGCCAUCUGUCAGCGGGCGUGGAGGAUCCUUCACCGACCUUUUGCAUUUAUUUCCUGAACCCUCCGCCACUCUGUUUACUAUGAAGAUUUUUGGCCUUUCCUUACAUAAGUGGUUAAGAAAUUCUAGUUCCUCCAGGAAGGACUAAGGCUGUGCUUUUCAGCAAGGCAAAGAGUAUAUUCCUCUGUAACGUGACUUGGGUUUUCUAAAGGUCGGUUCUAUUAUUUGUACUAAUGCAGUAUUGAGCUUCUUCGAAUUUGCUUAUCAUAAUAUCACACGGCCAUCUGAACUAUAGUCUAUAGAAGCGUAGGUUUCGUUGCUUCCCCCGCCUUCCUGAAAGCUCAGCAUUUUUGAAUGAAUAAAUUAGAACGAUGCAAUUGCAUCUUGACCAAGGGGUUGGCUUUUUAUGAUGGUUGACUUUUUCCUUUAAGAAUAGAACUUAGAUUAACGGGUCCAUCCACUCUUCAGAUGCAUGCUUUCCUUCUCCGUAGAGAAGCUGCCCAGAUGGGUCUUGCUCAGUUUCAUGGGCAUGGCCCUAAAAUGCAUGGAUUUGUUUAAUAGGGCACGAUCCUUUUAAGUACAUAAAAGUACAAUCCAAAGGUGGUCAAUAUACAAAAUCUUCCUAGAGUUUUCCAACAUGCUCUAACAGAAGCGUUUCACCAACAAUAAAAAUCACCACAAUUAACGCAUGUGCAAAAUGUGGCUCUUGAUGGCGCUGCCUCGACUCUCUUCCUGUAUUUCAGCCUGGUGCUGCUUUCCUUCUUCAGUAGGUGAGGACAGCCGGUCUUACCCACAUUCUCUCUCCAGCCUCGUAUCUGUUGCUCUCCUCUUCAUCUUCAAUUCUAUGAAUUUCCUCCUUUACAUUAUUUUAAGAUUUAAAGUGUCCAGAUGGAUGCUGAAUUCCUUCCUCACACCUGGCUUCCUGAGCAAGCAGUCAGUUUUGAUUUUUCACUGGGCAUGGGCCCUCUCUCCUGGCUUGUGUGUCUGUAACACACUUCCUCUCCUCCUGGUUUUAAUGGUCUCAUUGAGUCUCAGAAAUGGUGGCUCUUGAAUAUCAUUUAUCCAAGUCCCAUCAAGGUUUCAGUGGAAAAGGGGCUGAAAGGAAUGGGAAAACACAGUCCCAUAUUUCUAUGCAUCUUCAGCCAGCCUUAUCGCUCUGUCCUUUCAAGGAUGCUUAAUAAUUAAUAUGGGCAACAGAGAGGCUGGCAGUGUCGCUGGCUGCCCAAACAAGUCGGCUUAAUGCUUUUAUACUGCUAAUAAGACAUAAGCGUGGCUAAGAGCAGCAUUUUCAUACUGCAUUAAUGAAACACAGUUUCUGAAUGCGCUAUGAAUUUUAUCUAAUUAGUAGCUUUAAAAAUGCCUCAGACAAGCCUUCAAAGGGAAUUUGUUGCACUGAAAAGAGAUUCAAGAACCAGAGACCCCAAGUGGCUCAAUGCUCUGCAGAUAGUGUGAGGUCGUUUCCAGGAGGCUCAAGACACCCCUUUUCCAGGAAACUUGAUUGAGCAUAAAAGUUCUCAAGUAUUUUUCCUCCGGGAGAACAAUACCUGGGACUCCUUACGUUACUCCUUCCUUCCAUUGAUGAGCUAGAAAAACAGCAAACAAAACUAAGAUAAAUCUUUUCUUCAGCUUGGGGUCCUCACAAUUCCUGACACUUUCUCAUGGUACAGCAGGUCACAAAGCCCGAAAGAGGGCCAGUAUGCAGUGCAAAUACGGACGACGUUAGCUGGAGCGAGAGUUGCUGACACGCCCCACUGAUGCCCAAGGUCUUUACCUGAAAGUUACCUUUUGGCUAAUUUGCCUUUCUACCCUUCUUCUUUUCUCCCCUCCUUCUGUCUCUUCGUUAAUUUGUCUGUUUCUCCCUUUCUCUGUACCUGUUUUCUUUUCUGUGGACCUCAGACAUUGGGAAUUGAGUGAAUUGUAUUUCUCAGUUCAUGAUUCCCUAACAUGCAACUUGUUUUGUUCUGUAUUAUUGUUUUCUUCUUCACUGUCCAUCUUUGGGUUCAUUUCUCUACCUUCCAUAGGCACCCGCUCUAGAGCAUUUUAUAUCUGUAUGUAGAUAGGUGUCAGUGAAAACCAUGAAGUUUUAUUUGGCAAGUAGGUCUUUUUAAUUUACAAAAAUGGUGUUAUGUUACAAAACUCAUUUUGUUUUAUUCAUUUACUCAAUCCUAUUGUUAAAAGAUUUAAUGGUGUUGCUGUGUGUAAAUCUCUAGCUUUGUCUGUCUGCUACAGCAUCUUCUAUCAAAUACCUGUACCACAUUUUGGUUGUUCAUUAGUCUCGAGAUGGCAUCUAGGUUGCUUCUAAUUUGGGUACCACAAGCAGUGUUUUAAUGAGCAUCCUUGUCCAUGCCUCCUUAUGUUCCUCUGUGAGAGUUUCCCCGCUGAGGAGGAAGAUGGCUAAGGUUGUAGGUAUGGACAUCUUUAAUUUCACCAAGUUUCACCAUCUUUCCCUCAAAAAUAUCUUCUUUACUAGGAGGCAUAAAAGGUCUUAUUUAUCAACAUUCUUGCUACUUCUGGGUAUCUUCUAAGCCUCAGCUCAAAGUCCAGAAUCUCAACAUCUAAGUUGAUAUUUAAGAUUUAAGAAGGAGUAGAUUUAAGAACGAGUAGAUUUAAGAACGAGUAGAAUUUUUCUUGAUCUGGGAAAUUAAAGACACGCUAUUUGUCCCCCACAUACCCAACAUUCAGGAUGGCACAGGCAUAGAGUAAGCUCUGUGGACAUUCCUAUUCAAAAAGGAAGAAAAUCGGAGGCACAGAGUCACUGGAGCGUAGUAAUUAUGAAACAUAGCUGAGCAGACGUUGGAGUUCCUUCAUUAGAACAUGAUUCUACUUCUGCUCAGGAGCUGGUCUUUGGGGCCCUUGGCUCUGCUCUCUGGGCUCUUGGUUCCACUCUGAGUCAUCCUUGAUUUUUACGAAAGGAGCCUGUGUUUGCAGCCAACUAAUUUUCCCAGUCUGCCCCCUGUUUGUAGACGUUGGGCGGUCUUAAGUCUCCUUUUCAUUUCGUACCGUCUCCGUCCCUUUCAGUCCAAGCUGGUGAUGUUUCUGCACAUAUCGCUCUCUUAAAAACCCUGUGGGUCCUCUCUGCGUCUUUUUGGAGUUCACGUCAUCAGACAAAAGUAGACUGACAAAUCUCUUCAAGAUAAGCCCUUGUCCACUUUGCACUUCUAUUGAACAACCACACUCUUAAGCUUCUUAGAAGCUCUAUUGUUUGAUUUAAAGGAACUCUGAGUCACACUCUUAAACCUUAAGAGAGCUUUUUUGUCUGAUUGAAUGACACUCUGAGGCAUCACCUUUGAUCUCUCUGAGGUCUUAAAGGAUUUUAUGCUCACUCCCUCAGCUUCGUAUUUAAACCAUGUUUUCUUGAGAGUGUCCUGGAUUUGGUCUUUGCUUGGAGCCAUUUCUUUUUUAUUUAUUUAUUUUUUUGAGGAAGAUUAGCCCUGAGCUAACUACUGCCAAUCCUCCUCUUUUCGCUGAGGAAGACUGGCCCUGAGCUAAAAUCCGUGCCCAUCUUCCUCUACUUUAUAUGUGGGACGCCUACCACAGCAAGGCGUGCUAAGCAGUGCCAUGUCCUCACCCGGGAUCCGAACAGGCAAACCCCGGGCUGCCGAAGCGGAAUGUGCAAACUUAACUGCUGCGCCACCGGGCCAGCCCCAGCCAUUUCUUAAAUUUAGCGUUGUUUGCCAUCUGAUGAGGCUGGGAAUCUUUGAAAACUAGACAGUUCUGGUUCUUUUUGGAUAAUAGUUCCUUCUUUAGCUUAUCACUAUCUUCUCAGAUUUUUCUAUAAAUAGCAUUAAUGUGGCAUUUUCACCACCAUGUCUGGAAAUCUUAGCCUGAUCAUCCAGUUCACCAGGGACAUUUCCAACUUUCACAUUACUUCUGGUUACCAUUGCAAAACUUUCUGCCACUACAGAAUAAGGAUCUCCUUUUCUCCAGUUUCCAAUAAGAUUUUCUUCAUUUUUCUUUUAAGCCCUCACUGGCAGCCUCCUUAAAGUCCAAAAUUCUACUACCAUUCUGAUCAAGGAAAUUUAGACUUUCACUAAUCCUCUCUCUAAAGUCCUUUUUCCGUCCAGUUCCUGUCCGCCACCUCUCCCAAAUGUAGGCUUUUGUUACGGCAUACCCCACUUUCAGUAUCGAAAUCUGAAUGAGUUAUUUAUUGCUACAUAACAAAUCACCCUAAAACUUAGUGGGUUAAAACAACAAAUAUUAUCUCACAUUCUCAGACCUGGGAAUCUGUCAGCAGCUCAGCUGGGUGGUCCCGCCUGAGGGUCUCUCGCCAGGUUGCAAGUAAGCUGUUGACCAGGGUUGCAAUAAUCUCGCAGCCUAGAAAAUCCGCUGUUAGGCUCAGUCGUGAAAUUGUUGGUGGCCCUCAAUUCCUCACUGACUGUUGGCUGGAGGGUUAUUGGAACGUUGUCAUGCAAACGUCCCUGGAGGGCUGUUCCCAACCUCGCUGGUGCUUUCCCCAGAGCAAGGAAUGAGAGAUGGAAAAAGAGAAGAGAACCCAGGAUGGAGUCACAGACUUUUAUAACCUGACUUUGGAAAGGAUCUACUGUUGCUUAUAUCAUAUGCUACUAGUUACACAGACCAACCCUGAGAUAAUGUGGGAGAAGCCUGCGUAAGAGUGUGAAUACCAGGAGGCAGGUAUCACUGGGAACCAUCCUGGAGCAUGGCUACCCAAUGACUCCAUUUUCUCAACACUAUUGUUAAACCAUCCACUGUUUCCUCAUGCCUUUUGAGUUAUUAUCCCCGGCAUAUAUGAAAUUCUUGUAUAGAUAUGGGCUAAUUUCUUGCUUCUUUAUUUUGUUCCAUUUGUCUCUUUUUAUUACUUGUGACUUUUCAGUGUGCCACAAUCUGUGACCUUUCAAUAAUUUGUCUUGUUAUCUGGAAGGACAUGAAGGAGGUAAGUGGUUAAGCAGCAGGUCUAUGGUCCUUUCUCUCGCAGGGAGUUUUCCACCGGAAAAGAAAGAAGGCAUGGACUCAGUCAAAUCUUCUCGUAAUGGCAGAGCUGACAAGCAACUAAUGGUUUUUGCUAGCGGGAGAGUUUAUCAGGAUGUCCAGUUGUCUAGUAUUGUUUGUGUAACAAGCCUGGGGUCUCUGGAUUUCUGAGAUGCAGCUCCCUGGAAAAUGUGACAUAAACUGUCUGACUCUCUGACUCUACCAGAUGAGCAGAAAUUUCCCGCCAACUUGGCAAAAAGGUGAUCAAAUAUUGAGACUUCCUCCAGCUCUGUCUGGAUGUUUUUUCCUCCAAGAAUACUUCUUGGCGGUGUUGUGAUCAUCUGCAGGAGACACACGAUACCUGUUUGUCUCUCUUUUUUGUCUCGUUGACAAUCAUUGACCAUCAAUGAAAUAAUGUCUAGAUCAAUUAAUUCCCUAGGGGUUGCAAAAUAGUGGAAUUCUGGUUCUAUUAUUCCUUCGUUUAUUAGCUGAAAGAUUCCUAUAAGAGAAACUUCCCCUCACCUGCUAUUUGGUAAUCCAUCAGUAUAGUUCUUACAGGAAAGGCAGGAUAGAUGCUCUAGUCUUUCCCUCUGUCUAUUAAGUGACUUGGUUUGCUAUCAUCUUUCAAAGUUGACCUGUUAUUAUUAUUUUGUGGUAUUAUUAUGAAGUCCUGAAUUUAUAUGUUUUCUGUAUUUCAGUCAAUCGUGGUUGUUAUCCUUAUUGAUGCUGACAGUAUACCAUAUUUGGUGAGUGGGAACCUCAUCAACUUGGCUCUUGAGCCCUUUAGCCAUGAUUCCAAUAUUCUUUGACAACUCCCUUUUUAUCAGGUAUGACGAGAAGUUCUAAGCUCGUCUUGUAUAUUUCUCCUCUAGACUGGAAAUCAGCUGUUUCUUGAGGAUCCCUGAUUUCCUUUAGAGGGAAAUGUUAUUUAGAGCCCAUAAUCUGAGUGCUAAGGCUCUUAUUGCUACUGGGUUUCUCCACAGUCUUGCCAACGAAGCACGUUGUUAAACUUUUGAGAGAAUAUGUUUUUCUUUUGAUAAAUGGUAUCUUGGCAUAAUUUUCGUUUUGUCUGUUUAAUAUGAGCAAGCUUGACCAUCAUUUAGGAAGUGCUGCUUCCUUUUUCUGUGAACAGUCUGUUCAUUUCGCUAGCUCACUUUAAAAUAACUUUGUUGGACUUUAUUUUCAGAAGUGUUUUAUACUAGCAGUUCUCGAAGGGUAAUGUGGGGAAACCCGGGGGCUCCCUGAGACCGUGUCACGGUGUGCAUGAAAUCAGAAAUGUUUUGGUGACGCUCAGCU
rnacentral:lncRNA from 1 species